rnacentral:snRNA from 1 species
CAACUUUUUUGUGGUUUUCUCAGGGCGAGGUUCAUCCAUUGCACUGUAGGAUGUGUUGACCCCUGCGAUUUCCCCAAAUGCGGGAAACUCGGCUGCAUAAUUUAUGGUAGUGGGGACUGCGUUCGCGCUCUCCCCU